GGUCGCUUAGCUCAGUUGGUUAGAGCGUGGUGCUAAUAGCUUCUGCUUGCAACGCCAAGGUCGCGAGUUCGACCCUCGUAGUGACCA
rnacentral:tRNA from 1 species